rnacentral:rRNA from 1 species
GAUGAACGCUGGCGGCGUGCCUAAUACAUGCAAGUCGAGCGAACAGACGAGGAGCUUGCUCCUCUGACGUUAGCGGCGGACGGGUGAGUAACACGUGGAUAACCUACCUAUAAGACUGGGAUAACUUCGGGAAACCGGAGCUAAUACCGGAUAAUAUAUUGAACCGCAUGGUUCAAUAGUGAAAGACGGUUUUGCUGUCACUUAUAGAUGGAUCCGCGCCGCAUUAGCUAGUUGGUAAGGUAACGGCUUACCAAGGCAACGGUGCGUAGCCGACCUGAGAGGGUGAUCGGCCACACUGGAACUGAGACACGGUCCAGACUCCUACGGGAGGCAGCAGUAGGGAAUCUUCCGCAAAGGGCGAAAGCCUGACGGAGCAACGCCGCGUGAGUGAUGAAGGUCUUCGGAUCGUAAAACUCUGUUAUUAGGGAAGAACAAAUGUGUAAGUAACUAUGCACGUCUUGACGGUACCUAAUCAGAAAGCCACGGCUAACUACGUG